GCUUGGGGCACAGGCGUUUGCAAAGGGACAGCGGGACGGGGGCGGAUGCGGAGUCGGGGGGGAAGUGAGCGGCUUCUGUACCGGAGCUGAGGAAGAGUGAUCGCCCGCCCCUUUAUCUUUUCCGCCGCGGUAUCUGCAGGGACGGUGCUUUGCAUUCGCUUUGAAGAGACAAGAACCCCCGACCCUUCUCCCUCCCCACUCAGCCCGAGGGAAGGGGACCGGGCGGCGACCCCAACCUGUGAAUCUAUAUCAGGCGGAGAGGAAGCCGGGCCGAGCCGGCCGGGUAGGGCAGAGAGCGACACAAUAAAUCUGCCGAGAAGCGGGAGAGCAUAGCGAGUGAGAAUGUAAAGGAAAAGGCUCCGAAAGACCGGGAUUCGGGACGGACGCUCUUGGAAAGACCGGGGAUGGGGCAGCAGCAGGCCCGCGUUGGCGGAGCUGCUGGUUUUGGUGCGGUUGGGGAGGCAGUCCAGCCCGGCAGGGGUAGGGUUGGCACAACGAGGCCCGGACACGGGGCCAGGAGGCGAGACACAGCAGCCAGGAGUAACGAAGCCGCCUGUAACAUUUUCAGUCACCAUGAAGUUUUGCACCGUCCAUUUGGUUCUGACAUUGAUUCACAGACACUGAAUGAAGCAGUGAGGUGGAGCUCAAAGGAAAACCUCUUGGGAGCCACUGAGAGUGAUCCUAAUCUAUUUGUUGCACUUUAUGACUUUGUUGCAAGUGGUGACAACACACUAAGCAUUACAAAAGGUGAAAAGCUGCGUGUGCUAUGCUAUAAUCAGAAUGGUGAAUGGUGUGAGGUGCGUUCGAAGAACGGGCAGGGAUGGGUUCCCAGCAAUUAUAUCACACCGGUAAAUAGUCUGGAAAAGCACUCCUGGUACCAUGGCCCUGUCUCACGUAGUGCAGCAGAGUACCUACUUAGCAGUCUUAUCAACGGCAGCUUUCUUGUUCGGGAAAGUGAGAGCAGUCCAGGACAACUUUCGAUAUCCCUCCGCUAUGAAGGUCGGGUUUACCACUACAGAAUCAAUACAACACAUGAUGCCAAGGUGUACGUGACAGCAGAGAGCCGGUUUAACACUUUGGCAGAGCUAGUUCAUCACCAUUCCACUGUGGCUGACGGACUGGUCACAACCCUGCACUACCCUGCUCCAAAAUGCAACAAACCCACUGUUUACGGAGUUUCUCCCAUACAUGACAAGUGGGAGAUGGAACGCACUGACAUCACAAUGAAGCACAAGCUGGGUGGAGGGCAGUAUGGGGAGGUGUACGUUGGAGUCUGGAAGAAAUAUAGUCUUACUGUUGCUGUAAAAACACUGAAGGAGGACACAAUGGAGGUAGAAGAAUUCCUGAAGGAAGCUGCUGUAAUGAAAGAAAUUAAACAUCCAAACUUGGUUCAACUACUAGGUGUUUGUACUUUGGAGCCACCGUUUUACAUUGUCACUGAGUACAUGCCCCAUGGAAAUUUGCUGGAUUACCUGCGUGAAUGCCACAAGGAAGAGGUGAAUGCUGUUGUGCUGUUGUACAUGGCCACGCAAAUCUCUUCUGCUAUGGAAUACCUCGAGAAAAAGAAUUUCAUUCACAGAGACCUGGCUGCUCGUAACUGCUUGGUUGGUGAGAAUCACAUGGUGAAAGUUGCAGACUUUGGUUUAAGCAGGUUAAUGACCGGUGAUACCUACACUGCCCAUGCUGGAGCUAAAUUCCCAAUUAAAUGGACUGCACCUGAAAGCCUUGCCUACAAUACCUUCUCAAUAAAAUCUGAUGUGUGGGCAUUUGGAGUGCUUCUGUGGGAAAUUGCCACAUAUGGGAUGUCUCCAUACCCAGGAAUUGAUCUAUCUCAGGUCUAUGAUUUACUUGAGAAAGGAUACAGAAUGGAGCAACCUGAGGGCUGUCCACCCAAAGUCUAUGAACUGAUGAGAUCAUGUUGGCAGUGGAAUCCUAUGGAGCGUCCAUCAUUUGCUGAGAUCCAUCAGGCUUUUGAGACCAUGUUCCAUGACUCCAGUAUUUCAGAAGAAGUUGCAGAAGAGCUUGGAAAAACUGCUGCUUCAACUGUGAUCACCCACCAGCUUCAAUUACCCCUGCUCCCAACAAAAACCCGAACACUAAAGAAAAAUGCUGAAAAUAAAGAAAACAUGGACAUGGACCAUCCUGCAAUAGCUCAUACCACAGUGCCAGGAAUGGGAACAAGUGCAGCCCUGUGUAGCAUCUCCCCUGCAUUGCCUCGUAAGCAAAGAGAUAAAUCUCCCAGUGGUCUCCUGGACGAUAGCAAAGAGACCCUGUUUACCAGAGAUAGAAAAGCUGGCUUCUUCAGUUCUUUUAUGAAGAAGAAAACUGUCCCUAUGCCUCCUAAACGCAGCAGCUCCUUCCGAGAGAUGGAGAACCACCCACACAAGAAAUAUGAGAUAACGGGUAACUUUUCUUCUUUCUCAUCUUUUCAGCACUCAGAUGGUCUUACAUUUGUCCAGUCACAUGCUGACGGGACACACGCACAGGCUAGGUGCUGUGGACGGGGUUCUGUUCAAAGAAAUGGUGGUGUAACUAGUGGAGGGUGGGCAGGAUUUGCUGGAUUUUUCACUCCACGCUUAAUAAAAAAGACACUUGGCUUAAAAGCUGGGAAGCCUUCAAGUAAUGAUGAUUCAAGCUUGGAAGCCUCCAAACCUUUCCCUCGGUCAAAUUCUACUUCUUCCAUGUCUUCAGGGCUUCAGGAGCUGGAUCGACUAGCCUUGACUCUUCCUAGAAAUUGUCACCGCAACAGAAUUCAACUAGAACAUCCAAUUCCUGCCAUCUCUAAAGAGGAGGAACAUGGAAGACUCACAGACCCAUUACAUCGAAAAGCAGAAGAUGGAAUUUCCUCAUUGAGAGACAAAUCAAAAGCCAAACUCGUAGCGCGGGGUGCUGCAACACCACCUCUCAGGGCAAAUGCAGGCAAUGGAGACAGUGAUCUUUCACAGAAUCUAAAUUCAGUGCAGGUUGGGCGGGGAGAAUCCAAUAGUAGUCAUUCCAGAUCUGUAGGCAUGAAAGAGGAUGUGGAGAAGGGAAGUUGGUCCUCUCCAGUUAAGACUGUUGCAACUCUUCCAGCAACUCAUAAUCACAAAGUACCUGUACUGAUAUCUCCAACUUUGAAACAUGCUUCUGCAGAAGUUCAGUUGAUUGGAACAGAUUCUCUGGGAAACAAAUUCAAACUGCUGUCAGAGCAUCAGGUUGCAUCAGAAAGGGAGCGUCCCAGGCUUGUAAAACCAAAAUGUGCACCACCCCCACCCCCACCCCCUCCACCUCCUCUCAAACUAUUGCAGCCUCCUCCCAGCACAGGUCUGAAUAGCACAGAAACAGCAGAGGACUGUGAGAGCACAUCAGCACAACAGGAGGUUGAGAUUAAUGGUGAAAGUGGCAAAAGGCCCACAACGGCUGCAUUAGGAAAGAUCUCCAGACCAACUCUGCCACCCCCUCAAGUGCCUCCAGCUUCAUCCAUUCCUGUGGUAGCUUCCUCCAAACUUGCAAAUGGAGCCUCUGUAACUACGAGUGCUAGAAUUUCCUUGCGAAAAACCAAGCUGCCACCAGAGAAGGUGCCAACAGAAAAAAUCAGCAAGGAGGCAUUAUUAGAAUGUGCCGAGCUUCUAUCUAGCAUCAUCGACAGUGGCUCAGAGUCCACCUCCAACAGCCAGUUGGUUGAAGCAGGAUAUCGGUUGCUUGAUCAUUGUACUGGUUAUGUGGACUGCAUUAUGCAAAUGAGGAACAAGUUUGCUUUCCGUGAAGCUGUAAACAAAUUAGAACAGAGCCUCCAUGAGCUCCAGGUAUCCUGCACAGCUUCUACUGGACUUACAACAAACCCUGUGCUCAGUAACUUACUGACAUGUGUUAAAGACCUAAGUGACAUUGUGCAGAGGUAGCCAAGAAGGCCAUACUGUGUGUGAGAGGUUUAGUGACUCAAGUUUAUUAUCUGAAGUACCUCAGCAAAUGUUCAGCUUUUCAAUGUUUACAGAUUCAUCUCUUUCAAUCAGUGAAGUCCUGAUUAGAGCUAUCUGUGCAUAAUGAGGGUGUGGAGAGCACUGUCUCCAGUUUUUACUGGGUGGAAUGCUACUCCUUUAUUAAAUUUGGUGGAAAAGGUCCAAAACCAGCUAUUUUGAAUCAGGGCCAAGGUAAGCUUUUUUCCCCCCCAUACUGGACAGUUCUCAGGGACUUCUCCCUUUUGAAAAGGAAGUCACACCUAAUAGUUUUUGAGUAUUUAAUCAUGUACUUAUGAUCAUUUUGUUCAGUGCAAAACACAACACAACUAUCUUGUCACUGAACUCAUUCUAUGUACUCAUAUCAAUGCACUAUCAAAAAAAGUUUAAAACAAUUUGCUUUAAUUUUGUCCUUCUGCUGCUCAUGUGCUAAUAUUAAUUCGUAACCCACUUUUCCCAUCACACUCAAUAGUAGUCCAGGUACUUUAUUGUACUGGUCCAUGAUGCAAAACUUUGAGCAACCGCACCAAAAUGUUGAAGUGUGAAUGUAGUAUGCUCUGCCAGGUGUUUUUUCACCAUUCAGGUAGACAAGGUGUGAACAGUCAUGCACCCAUUGUUAAUCUGUACUGAAAUGCUAGCAACAAGACUGAAAACUAAAGCUUAAGUCUGUCACUUCCUCUUCAUAUUGGAUGGAAUUUGCUGGCAGUGCCUGAGACAGGCAAAACUGCAUUAUAUCAGCAGACCUGUAAACUUAAUUCAGGUUGAUAAUUUUUUCUGUAUUUCCCAAUGUAGCAGUGUUUCUCCUUUGUAAUGCCCUGUCUUCUUUUGCAGCAGUAUUGGAAUUCCAUGGGAACACUACUUCAAAAAGUCCCUCAGAACUGUCUUGGGGUUAAAGAUAUGCCUAUGUAAUAUUGCUUCUCAGAGUGGACCUCGUGUUUCUAUUUUUGGUGAAUGGAAAAACAAGUUAUGUGGCAGAAUCUGCUGUGACUUCAGAAUGACAAUGUGAAUUGUUUUACCUUGGGAUUGCUAAGUGAAUCUACUGUGUUUGCUGUGAGUGUAGAAAAUGACAUCCCUAAAUCAUGCACACAGCCAAGUCAGAGCUCUACCACAGUCAAUAUUUAUGACAGCAAACCCGUCCUCCCUGCUUAAGUACUCACCCUGUGGUGCUGGAGCAUCAUGAAGGUCCCACAGGAAUAUUGCAUCUGUUUUUUUUCUCUGUUCACAGCAAUAGAUUAUACCAAGAAAAUUGCACACAUUUUUGAAUUACUUCUUUAAACCACGACUCCUGUGCAGGUAACCCCAUUUCUCUGCUAAAAGAAAUUUAGGCACUGACAAAUACUGGUGUUUUGCACCAUUUCUGUUUGCCAUUUUCCCAUUUUUAUAUGACUGUUAAAGAAAAGCUUCUUAAUACAGGUUCCUCUCUAUAAAUUAACCCAUUAGUUCUGUGAAACUACUAGUUGUCAAAUUAAUGACCAGGAAGAUCAUUUUUACACUAUCCCUGAAAAGCUGUCCUUAUAACUUUCUGGCAUGCAGAUAUUUUACCAUCAACUUUAUCAGUUUUUAAUUUUUUUUUAACACAAGCCCAUGGGAGGCCAGUGUACCUUCUCUUAAAAUUGUAUUUCUCUACCCCAUCAUAGUACUGAUCCUGAAUGUGUAUGUGGUACUUUUUAAAGCGUUCCAAUUAAUUUAAUUGCAUCAGAGAAUUAUUCAAAUGUUCACUGCUUGUUACACUCCAUCCCACGUGCUCAUUGCUGCCUCUCAAAGUAGUCACAAAGCAUGUGCACUUAGGCAAGAUCAUUUCAGAUAAGGCCAUAUAUUUAAAAAAGGCAAACAUUUUUUUCUUAAUGUUGAUGUUUACACUGUGCCUGGAACAAGGAGGUAGCAUCAUGAUAUGGAACCAAGGGUUAGAUUUAUUCGUGUUGGAAUUUGGAGUUGUGACUGCACUAGUUAAUACCAAGGCAGCACUUCAUAAUAUGUGGUGUCCAGUUUUUUUUUUAGGGAAAGCAAGUGUGUUUGUAUCAUAGAGUACUGAUCUUUAGGAACUUGACACCAGUCCCUCAAGUCACACUCCCUUGCUGUGCCGCUACUGUUUGUGCUAAGACUAGGAAAGUACUGAUUUCUGAAAACACUAGAAUAACCUUGCUGUGUCCAGUGAAAUGCAGAAUUUUUAUUUUUGAGUGCUGUGACUUUCUGAUCAUGUUUGCAGUAUUGCCUGUGGACUGUCAAUUCAGACUGCUGCUGAUAAUUUGCAGAAAUACUCUGUGUGCAUUUAUACCAAAGGCCACUUGGUUCAGUCAUUUCUUUGUGCAAUUUAGGCUGGGUUAAACUCAUUUCUAGUUUCAUGGGCAGAUCUGCAAUCAGUUUUAUAGGAUAAUAGAUCCUGAUUUUGUUAACUGCUUUCACAUAACAAACCUCCUUGGAUGACAAAGCGGUCUCUUCCUUUACAUGUGCUUCAAAUUCCUUGCAAAAACAAAAUGAUGUUAACAUCAUGAAAAUAAUUAGAAUUCUCACAACUAGUAAAAUCAUUAAAAUUAUCCCUGAAAAAUUUCUGGGACACUAAUUAUAAAAGGGAAAACUAAAACUAUCAAGAAAUUGAAUCCCAGAAGAACUGUUGUCUGUGGGCACAUUGUGUUUUCAUAGUUAUCUUCACUAUGAUGUAUAAAACAAACCUGCACCUCCUUUAAAACUUUGAAUGCAUUAAUCCUAAUAGCCUUUCCACAAAAUACAACACAGUCCACCUCAUACUUUUGUAUUUGUCAGGAUGUUAAAGUGGGCAUCAAUAUCCAUGCAGGUGCAGCUGUAGUGUAGCUUCAACCCAACAGAAACAUCUGACACAUUUAACAUGAAAGGAAAAAUUGAGCAGAGUUACUUUACUGGGCCAAAAAUUUCAUUUCCUUUGGAAAUAUUGAUUUCCAUAAAAUAACGCAAACUGACAUGGCAGAGAUCAACCAAAAGCAAAAUUAAAGUCAAAAACAAAAUCAGAUUUAAAAUUAAGGAGGUCUGAUUCACUAAGGUUUUAAAAAAAAGUCACGGCUACCCCCCUCAAUAUUUUAAUAUCCUCCAGUAAUGAAAAACUUCAUUGCAUUACAUUAUUGUUUUUUUUCUUUAUUCAUUCAGGGGAUGAGGGCAUCGCUGGCGAGGCAGCAUUUAUUGCCCAUCCCUAAUUGCCCAGAGGGCAGUUAAGAGUCAACCACAUUACUGUGAGUCUGGAGUCACAUGUAGGCCAGACCAGCUUUACGGAAGAAAAAAGUUGACCCGUUGUGCAACUGAUUUGCAGCCCUGUGCAGAGAAAAGCUUUUCCUCCUUUGGAACAUACAGCAUUCCCUUAGCUACUUCAUCUAGAAUGUCGAAAUCAUACUGGAUUCCUCUGGACAGAAGAGCAUCACGCACACACAACUUAACAUGCUUGUACUCCAGUGGUAAGAAAGGGAUGAAGAAGUCAAUUAGGUUUUCAGUCACAAGGCCACUGUGCGCAAAUCCACCUGGAAAUA